rnacentral:rRNA from 1 species
CGUGUAGGCGGUUCACCAAGUUGGGUGUGAAAGCCCUCGGCUUAACCGAGGAAGUGCGCCCAAAACUAGUGAACUCGAGUACCGGAGAGGGUGGCGGAAUUCCCGGUGUAGAGGUGAAAUUCGUAGAUAUCGGGAGGAACACCAGCGGCGAAGGCGGCCACCUGGACGGAUACUGACGCUGAGACGCGAAAGCGUGGGGAGCAAACAG